UGGGUUCCCAGCCGUCCCAGUCCAUCCCAGUUUGGGUUCCCAGUCGCUCCCAGUCCAUCCCAGUUUGGGUUCCCAGUUGCUCCCAGUCGCUCCCAGCCGUCCCAGUCCAUCCCAGUUUGGGUUCCCAGUUUGGGCUCCCAGUUGCUCCCAGUCCAUCCCAGUUUGGGUUCCCAGUCUCUCCCAGUUUGGGUUCCCAGCCGUCCCAGCUGUCCCAGUUGCUCCCAGUCCGUCCCAGUUUGGGUUCCCAGCUGUCCCAGUCCAUCCCAGUCCGUCCCAGUCCAUCCCAGCUGUCCCAGUCCAUCCCAGUUCGUCCCAGUUUGGGUUCCCAGUCGUCCCAGCCGUCCCAGUCGCUCCCAGUUUGGGUUCCCAGUUGCCCCCAGUCCAUCCCAGUCCAUCCCAGUUUGGGUUCCCAGUCGCUCCCAGUCCAUCCCAGUUUGGGUUCCCAGUCGCUCCCAGUCCAUCCCAGUUUGGGUUCCCAGCCGUCCCAGUUGCUCCCAGUCCAUCCCAGUUUGGGUUCCCAGCCGUCCCAGUUGCUCCCAGUCCAUCCC
rnacentral:lncRNA from 1 species